CAGUCGCCACGGUAAUACGAAGGGGGCUAGCGUUGCUCGGAAUCACUGGGCGUAAAGGGUGCGUAGGCGGGUCUUUAAGUCAGGGGUGAAAUCCUGGAGCUCAACUCCAGAACUGCCUUUGAUACUGAAGAUCUUGAGUUCGGGAGAGGUGAGUGGAACUGCGAGUGUAGGGGUGAAAUUCGUAGAUAUUCGCAAGAACACCAGUGGCGAAGGCGACUCUCUGGUCUGUAACUGACGCUGAGGAGCGAAAGCGUGGGGAGCGAACAGGAUUAGAUACCCGUGUAGUCCCUGUCUCUUAUAU
rnacentral:rRNA from 1 species